rnacentral:rRNA from 1 species
AACGAACGCUGGCGGCAGGCCUAUCACAUGCAAGUCGAGCGAGACCUUCGGGUCUAGCGGCGGACGGGUGAGUAACGCGUGGGAAUAUGCCCUUCUCUACGGAAUAGCCUCGGGAAACUGGGAGUAAUACCGUAUACGCCCUUCGGGGGAAAGAUUUAUCGGAGAAGGAUUAGCCCGCGUUGGAUUAGGUAGUUGGUGGGGUAAUGGCCUACCAAGCCGACGAUCCAUAGCUGGUUUGAGAGGAUGAUCAGCCACACUGGGACUGAGACACGGCCCAGACUCCUACGGGAGGCAGCAGUGGGGAAUCUUAGACAAUGGGCGCAAGCCUGAUCUAGCCAUGCCGCGUGAUUGAUGAAGGCCUUAGGGUUGUAAAGAUCUUUCAGCUGGGAAGAUAAUGACGGUACCAGCAGAAGAAGCCCCGGCUAACUCCGUGCCAGCCGCCGCGGUAA